GAGGUGUCGACGAUGGUGAUGGGGAUGCGGUCGGCGAAGUAGUCGACGGGGAGGCGGGUGGGGGGCAGUACGCGGGGGACGUCGCCUCGGUGGCGGCGGACACGACGAGGCUGGACUUGCCGGUGCCAGGGUCGCCGAUGACGACGACUCGCAAGCUCUGCUUGCCCGCCAGAUU
rnacentral:sRNA from 1 species